UUCUUUUUUAAUGAAAUACAUGGUGGUACAUGAAAAGCCAGUUUGUAAACUGAAACUGUUUUAUUUAUAUUUAUACUAGAGGCCCCUCAGUGUGGCCUGCAGGGAUUAGGCUGAAACCGCAGUCCAAGGCCACCUGCUGCGCCUGCCUGCCGCUCCUGCUCAUCCUGGCCCCACUGCACCUUCUGUGAGCUCGUGCCCAGUGAGUCCUGAUCUAUGGGGAGCCCUGCGUCUGGCGCCCAUAGAUGAGCUGAGCAGCAUUCCUGCUGUGGAAGCGCACUGACCACCAGGGGGCAGCUCCUGUGUUGAGCAUCUGCCCCCUGGUGGUCAGUGUGCAUCAUAGCGACUGGCCAUCCAGUCAUUUGGUUGCUUAGGCAUUUAUGCAUUAUUUAUUUAUUUAUUUAUUUAUUUAUAUUUGCCUCAUUUUUUGUCAAAGUUUAAUUCAUUUCAUUUGAUUCUCAUAAUUGGAAAUUAAAUAUUCAGCACCAUUGUAUAGACUUAUUUUUCCUGUUGGAAAUAGCAAAUUAUGAUGACUUGGACCAAAAAAAUAGAAAUUGGAGCUCUUUGGUGUUCAGUGCCUAGCCUUAUAGUUUUGCCUUUAAUUAUGAAGAUAUGUGAUGAUCUCUGAAGACCUAAAGUAAAUAGCAUGCGCUUUCUUUUCUUUCUUUGUAAAAUAGAUGGUAUGUUCUAGAAGAGUCACCUCUGGGCUUGUAGUGUUUCAUAAAAUACACAGGUCUGUGUACAUACUUAUUCUGUGAGCAAAAGUCUAUGCCUUUUCUGGUAUUUUUCACCUAAGAAAAUCUUGAAUAGCUAGAAGCUCCAUUAUUCUUGGUGUGUAAUAAGCCCUAGAGUUUAUAUCCAAAUCCAGGCCAUGCAGGAGCUCAGAGCCAUUCAGUAAAACUCAUGAACAGCCUGCUUUGUGGCAGACUGAGCGUCCUUUUUGUUUUGGAAAGCCUCAGAGUGGGGCGGUUUAUGUGUGGGAAUGACCAGUCAAAAUAGCAAGACAGAUAGAGGCAAGAAUGUCAUUUUUCAAAAUGUAAACGGGGAGGAGUGGUGCAUAUGUCAAAACAGAGCACAGGUGGAGAUGGGCGGGGAUCGGUGAUAGUGUCAAAGACAAAACAAAACAAACCGCAAUCUUACCUUUGUGGAGCUACAGAAUUAUUAAAUACCUUUGGAAAAUGUCCUUCCUACCCUCUCAAACUCAGGAUUUUUGCUCUUGUGGAUGACACUGGAAUGUGUCACGGGCACUCCUUUUUUUGACUAUUCUGAAAUGUUUGUUCAUUUUUCUAGUAAGAAGGAAGAAAAAGUUCUCCUUGAAGAGUUCAUUGGAAAUUAAGAAUAUUUAUUUUUAGGAUGUGAUCUGAAAGCGCAGUGGUUAGUGUGAUUGGCCACGGAGUGGCCAGGCGGCAGCCCCGGGCAGUAGUCCUGGCUAGCACGUCUUUGCCGCGAUGGAGAAACGGUGUUGCGUUCAUUGUAAUUCUUUCAUUCCCUUCCUUGCCAAACCCCAUGGCUUCUGUUGUAACAUGUGGCGACUUCUCCCCUGGAGACUAACUCAGUCCAAGUUACCAUAAUAUUUAGGACCAGCUACAAAGGCAUUUCUUUCCCUAAGCCCAUGCCAAAUCUCAGCCCAGCUAGCUUCUCCUCCCUGGCCACUCCAAUAGAACCAGCUCUUCUUCGAAAAGGACAAGAAGUGCACAGGCCUCUGUUUUAUGCCUGUUCAAACAGAUUAAUACACAAGGCACCUCAUGCCUGCCGUUGCUUUGAGUUCUUCACUUGCUUCCAGAGUAGUCUGUGAUAGUCUGUUAAUUUUGAGAGUGGCACCUUAGAUAUCUAGAAAGAGGAAAGGAGAUUCUGAGUCUACAACAGACUGUCUGCUGUCAGUGCUGAUGGAGAAAGGAAGAGUGACUCUAAGACCACAGGCCUUCCCGCUGCGGCUCUGAGCUUCCGGGCAAGCCUGGGCUCCGGAGACCCAGGCCAGGCGGGGCCGGGAGACGUUCUCAUCCCUAGCGGCCUUGGAUCUUCUACCUGCUAAAGACAUCACAUAAAACAAAGUAACGUCAAUCCUUAAGAAAGAACGCCUAGCAAAAUAGGAAAAGGGUUCCUAAUAAAUUUGUUCUGACCUGUAAACCUGGCCACUUUCCGCCUGGCAUUUGAUCCAUGUACCACAUACCUGUUUCAUUCAUCCUUGUUAUAUAAUUACUUGUUAAAGUAAUUAUAUCCCAUAACCAGCUUUGUUAGUAUGCAUUAAUUGGUUCAUAUUUUUUAGCGAGAUUUACUUCCCUUCACUGCUUAUUUUAUUGGUUUGAGGCCUGACUUUCAACACAAUUCAUUUUUAUGGGUUGUGUUUCUGUCUUUUUAAUUUGUUGAUUAUGUGAUACAUACAGAAGGGCAUAUCUAACAUAUAAGUAAGCACUAAAGCACAAUCAAAACAAAACGUGCUGUAGUGAGCCCCACCCAGGUGAACAGUUAGCUUACUAGUAUAGGAUGGAACAUACUUUUGGAUUUCUCUGUAGGACUUUGUUUCCCUCGUUCUCUGACUUCCUCACAAUUCUGAAAUUGUGUUUAUAAUUCUUUUGACUUUUCAAACAAAUAUGUUUUAUCACAUAAAUGUGCAUUGUUAAAGGUAUUUUUAUUUUAUUUUUUAAUACUCACUGGAGGAUAUUUUUUUCCAUUGAUUUCUAGAGAGAGUGGAAGGGAGGGAAGAGGGGGAGAGAAAGAGAGAGACACAUCAGUGGGUUGCCUCCUGCACGUGCCCCUACCAGGGUUGGGGGACCUGCAACCGAGGUCAGUGCCCUUGACUGGGAUUCGAACCUGAGACUCUGGUCUUCAGGCUGAUGCUCCAACCACUGAGCCAAACCGGUAUUUUUAGACACAUAAAAUUUGUGUCACACUUUAUGUGGCUUUCUGCAGGUUAUGUUUUUCCUUCAUGUUAUGUUUGUAAAAUGCAUCCACGUGUUUGGGGGUAUAACUGCACUUCCUUUGCAUAUGUUGCUAUAAUACUCCAGUCGUGUGUGAAUAGAUCACAGUUGCCUGUUAUCUUGUCUGUGGGGCAGGGAGGAAGCCGCUCUGCCUUAGACAUGCGAUGCUGAGACGUCUGUUAGGGCUCAGUGCAGGCACUGAGCAGACAGGUGGCCAUGCAAGCCUGCCGUUCAGGAGAGAGGUCGGGGAUGGAGAUGGUGGCAUGUGGACCACAUCUAAAGCAUCGUUUCUCCAGCCGCUUCUAGAAUGCUAUUUAACCCAGCCACUGAGAUACUUAUUUUAAAAAUAUAUUUUAUUUCUUAAAGUUCUAUCUUUGUUUUCCUUUUUCACUUGCUGGUCACUUGCUGAAGUGUGACUUGUAAAAGAAUAAGUGACAAGAAUAUGAGCUUCCUCGAAAAUAAGGGAAAGUGUUUUGUAAACCCUCACGGGCUGUGAAAAGGUGAAGUAGUAUUAUGUUAGGAACUCUGGGAUUUUCAUGAGGUCCAAAUAAAACUGUAUAUAUAAAUUAAAAAUAAAAACAUGUACACUCAGUUAUCAUAUUGGGUUUUAAUACCUGGUUAACUUUUAGCUAAUAGCUAAUGUUCACCUGGUGCUUACUUUACAUGUAUUAACGCAUCUAAUCUUCACAACAGCCUGUGACUGGUAGCUACUACUUAUUCAUAUUUUACAGACAAGAAAACUAAAAGGUCUAGGUGGUAGACCCAGGACUUGAAUCCACCGAGUUGGCUUCUAAAAGCUGUGCUCUUAGCUGCUCUGCGGAUCUUCCCCCUUUUAAAUGGCAGGUCUCACCCAGUGCCUUCCACUUCAAGAUUCCAAAAAUGUGAGGGCCACCUUGAACCCACCCACAAAACAGCACUGCAGGCAGUGGACCCUGGCCAAGGGCCUUCUCUCUACUGACUUAGUUUCACCACUGACCCCGUCCUCAGACCUCACAGGGCACUGACCUCCCAUCAAGUGCCCACUCUGCACUCGUUGAAAAUGUCGUCUCCUUGAUGUAAGUUAUUUGCCUGAAGCCACCCAAUGAGUCAGUAGCCGGCCAGGCACUGGAAUCUGGUCUCUUGCCUUUCGAACACCACAUGUGUUUGGUGUUAAUAAAACCGUAUUUCUCCAGGGGAUCUGGCAAAAAUUUGAAAGUGCUUAACUUGACUGCAGUAAAUACUAAGAAAUCCCUUUUAAAGCAAAGAAGCCAAGCCCAGCCCGGGAAAACACAGUUUGUCCUGCGGGCCUUCGACGAGCUCACUUUGGCACCAGGAUCAGAUCCUAGAUGGGUCGGCCUCGCUUGGUUCCAACUCCUGCUGGGGCUGCUGGAAGCCGCAGCGAGACCUGGAAAUACUCUUGAGGAUGACACUGGAAUGUGUCGCUCCUCCCCACAGUCAGCAGGUCCCAGCUGAUUGUCCUCACAUUCCUGGGACAUGGUGACACAGGGCAGGACCCAGGUGAACGAGCCAGGCUGUCAGAAUCGACGCCUCUCUGCCUGCCUGCUGUGUGACGUGCCGUGCAGUUCGCUUCCCGUGUUUGUGAAUGUGCCUUAUCUCCUGAGCCACGCCAGGCGAGGGGAAGGUGCAGGCGUGCGCGACAAGGGGAAGAAAAUAGAGUCAUGGACGGCUUGCGUGCAGGGAGUGGCUUAUUACUUUGUCAUCAGAAUAAUUCUGGGCAUGUUGUGGACCCUCGGCUAACAACGUGAUUAGGAAACAGUUUCACUGAGCAAAAUGUUCUCAAAAGCCGAGCUUCCGAGGUGGAUCUGAUUGUGCUCAGGCCGGAGCUGGGUUUGCAUGUAUUUUACAGAAGGCAGGUUAUCACGGGACACCCGAAUGAAGGCCCACAAGGGCACGCUUGGAUCCUUUUAAUUCUCACAGUUCCCAGGGCAGCCACGGAUGAUGGAAGUUCACGUCCAGCUCUGCCUUGACAGACGGGCAUCAGGCAAAAGCCAGUUGUGGCAAACACGGACCACCUUGGGGCUGCACUCAGCUCAGCAGGUUAAGCUUCAUGUCAGUAACCGUCCCUAGACAAGAUGCUUCAAAACCACAAGGGUCUCUCUGGACUCUCCGUCCCUUAGAAGGAGUCUGUGUUCCCGCUUUCUCUGCGGUGCACGUGACAGCCGCAGAGACAGAGGCCCACGCCCAGGGCCGGGCCAGGCGGCCACCAGCCCGUGAGCGCUGGUCUGCGAUGCAGCUCUGUCAGCUGUGGGCUGCGUGAGCAGGGCAAGUCCCUCUGCCCUGUGUGGGUGGCGAUGCCCAUCGUAGGAUAUGUUGCGUGAGGAAGAGCACCUUGACGCUCCCCUACAGCCAGGCGAUUGGGGGACCCUCUUAGUGACAUGCCUGCCUUCGCAGUCGUCAGCUCUGAGGUCGUCCUCCGCCCCCAGUGCCCUGCUCCGUAGGUAAAUGACUUCGUCAUCAGGAAGCUGCAUGCCGACGCAGGUGGUCAUGAGAAGAACUGCCUGAGUGAGAACCAGCUCUUCUUUCCCACAUGGACACCCGUGGUUAAAAUCGAGCCUCUUUGUCUCUAGGACACGAACAAAUAGAAAUACCAGAUCUUUAUCACAGUUCUUAAACUUGGAGAGACGUAGCCCUGUUCUUACACACAGAUAAGGUGGAAGGUCAGUGUCAGGAGUGCCUGCUUGCGUGGCUGGCGUACAGAUAAAACAUGAAAGAUCAAGGAGCAAUUAUCCUCAUUGCCCUGCCUCUGUGUCAUAAAUAAUCAUUUUAAUUUAAUGUUAAGAGAUUGCUGGGGGUUAUCUUGAGAUUUAUGAGAUAAUGGUUACAAAGAAUUUUCAGUUCUGUGCAUGAGCAUUCUGAUGAAACUCUGAAAGUCCUCUUUCCAUUCACUAAAACUAGUGUAGGUGUUGCUGCAACACUUUUUCCUUCCCUUCCUCCUCUUACUACUUGUCUCUUUCCCCUCUCCUGCCUCCUUCCACCCAUCCAUCCACAGUGUUUACACAGGGAUAACCCAGACAUCAGUCCGUCCUCCGUGGCAUCUGCAGACGAGUGGGAGAACAGGGCAGCGUGCAAAGGCUAGGAUGUGCUACAGGGAAAAGAACGUGUACAGAAAAGAAUCUGAAUCAAACCUGGUGUGAACUCCGGGUGUACAUAUUCAGAAACUAAGGGUAACGACAGAGGGUGGAUUCUUGAGCAUACAGACUUGGGUUUUUAUAAAGCUGUCUAGUACAGAGUCACUCUUGGAGAGACGACUGUGAUGAGCUUGUUUUCACAUAGGUAAAGGGUAGGUCGGUCGGAGGACUGGAGGGGUUUUCCUAACGAGCUGAAAUGCCGAUCUGUAAAAGCUAAUUUCUCACAUGUGAAUUUUAGGGUUGGUGGUGACUGUUGGCUGAGUUGUGAUAAACCAGAGGAGAAAACUUUUUAUUAGCUCUCUGUUCCUAAAGGAAGUGUACGGAAAAGUCCCCUCACUGUCCUCACACCGAAAACAGGAAUCAGGCCGUCUGUUUGUGCAACACUUGGCGGACAGGAGAGCGCGGAUGUAAGGAGGGCCACCGUCCCUGCUGAGGCUGGCCCCUGGCUGGCCGGUCUGCCCGUGCAGGCGUGGCUGCAACCCCUGAUGCCCCGGCGCGUCCCUGUUUCCUGUCCCCUGGAAAGAGGGCUGUGGAUCUCGGCUCUCCGGUCCUCACCACCAAAGCAGGCAAACGCAAUGCCUUCUGUUCAGGGAACAUGGCUGGUGUCUCAGGUCCCAGGAUCUUUCUCGAGUCCCAGGGGGGCAAAUCUUGUCUCCUGUUUUUUGGCCCUUCUGACUAAAAGCAGCCAGGGACUUUAAACAGAGGAGAAAAUUCAAGCAGAAAUCUGCUACAGCUGGAAAUUAUCUUUAAAAUGACCUUUCCUUAUUAGAACACUAGUUCAUUGAAAGUUUGUUCACAUUUGCGCUUGAUCUGAUGUUUAAGUGAUUUAAAAAUAAAGAACUCACUUUAAUGUUAACAGUUCACUCCACUGUCAUAUCCGUGGAGUUCUAGGUCUUUGUGAACAAAUUAAGUACGGUGCCUUCUUUAUGACACAAUUAAAUCUAGAUCCCAGUGAUAUUUGGCACCUACUAAAUACCCAGAUGGGCACAGCGUCCGCCUUGAAGUGAAGACGUGCGUAGAGUUUUAAUCACAUAAUGAUUUAUUUUUGCUCUUUUAAAUACCACCUUUUCAAUAGUUGCUUCUGAAUGAAUGAAUGAAUGAUUAUUUACUGUGGUUUAUAACUAGGAAUUUGAACAUUAAAAAAUUCUAAUCAAGA